AUUGAACGCUGGCGGCAGGCCUAACACAUGCAAGUCGGACGAGCGGCGGACGGGUGAGUAAUGUCUGGGAAACUGCCUGAUGGAGGGGGAUAACUACUGGAAACGGUAGCUAAUACCGCAUACCAUCAGAUGUACCCAUAUGGGAUUAGCUAGUAGGUGAGGUAACGGCUCACCUAGGCGACGAUCCCUAGCGGGUCUGAGAGGAUGAUCAGCCACACUGGAACUGAGACACGGUCCAGACUCCUACGGGAGGCAGCAGUGGGGAAUAUUGCACAAUGGGCGCAAGCCUGAUGCAGCCAUGCCGCGUGUAUGAAGAAGGCCUUCGGGUUGUAAAGUACUUUCAGUGGGGAGGCGUUACCGACAGAAGAAGCACCGGCUAACUCCGUGCCAGCAGCCGCGGUAAUUC
rnacentral:rRNA from 1 species